rnacentral:misc_RNA from 1 species
GUGGAAGAGAUCCUUGAUAAGACGUCGGCAAUAGUGCUCUCAGAGCUGACUGAGGAGACUGUUAAUAAACAUGGAGAACAGUUGGGAGCCGUGGUGUCAAACAACAUUAAGAGACAUCUCAGCUCGGAGUUAAACAAUCUUUCUAUGAUAUUUAAGAACGCUGCAUACACAGAAGGGUUCCAUGCUGGAUCAUCCCAUAAAGUGAAACAUGCAUGGUAACAUUU